AGUGAACGCUGGCGGUAGGCCUAACACAUGCAAGUCGAACGGCAGCACAGUAAGAGCUUGCUCUUACGGGUGGCGAGUGGCGGACGGGUGAGGAAUACAUCGGAAUCUACUUUUUCGUGGGGGAUAACGUAGGGAAACUUACGCUAAUACCGCAUACGACCUACGGGUGAAAGCAGGGGAUCUUCGGACCUUGCGCGAUUGAAUGAGCCGAUGUCGGAUUAGCUAGUUGGCGGGGUAAAGGCCCACCAAGGCGACGAUCCGUAGCUGGUCUGAGAGGAUGAUCAGCCACACUGGAACUGAGACACGGUCCAGACUCCUACGGGAGGCAGCAGUGGGGUAUAUUGGACAAUGGGCGCAAGCCUGAUCCAGCCAUACCGCGUGGGUGAAGAAGGCCUUCGGGUUGUAAAGCCCUUUUGUUGGGAAAGAAAGGCAGCAGGUUAAUACCCCGCUGUUCUGACGGUACCCAAAGAAUAAGCACCGGCUAACUUCGUG
rnacentral:rRNA from 1 species